CGAGGAAUGGGCCCUCACCGGACAUCAUAUCUGCUGGUACCCUGACUUUGUGCCCUGACUUCCCAGAUUCCUGAACUAGUCAGCACGUAAGCCGGACUGUCUAGGAAAACCUCCCCUUCCUGUGUCUGGAGGUGUUGAAAAAAAUAAUUCAACAAUGCUGCCCCUGCUGGCCACCAGUGUACCAUGCAAUAAUUCCAUGGCCCCUGCCACAGCCCAGGAAAUGGAGGAAAUGGCCAGGCAGCCACAUUCUCUCAUCCUGCAGAAGGACCCUUCUAGGUGUUAGAGGUUGAGGGAUUUUGGCUACAUAUGGCCCCAUACAUCUUCCUAGCUAUAGAUUCCAAUGGAAGAAGAGAACUUUCUUUCCUCUACUGAGUGCAUAUAAACUUCUGCAUCUUGCUUCUGGCCUCAACUUGAUCUUCAGCAUCAACAUCAAGCAGAGCAGCAUGAGAUGCAGUGCAAUGAAUAAACAGUUCUUGGUCACGGGCUUGCCCUUGCAGUCUGGAAAGAAAAUCCUGCAACUGAGAGAGCCACCAUGAUUUCCUGAAGUAUUUGGUGAAGAACCAUUCUCCAAACGUGAAGUCAGGAGAUAUGUAUUGCUAUUAUCAGAGCUGAGGAAAAGACACUAGAAGUUUGAAAUCUCAGAUGUCCACAGCAUCAUGACACAUAGUUAGGAUUCCAUGCUGAAUAGAAGGGGGAACCUACUGAAGAGUUUUCAGCAGAAGAGAGACCCAAUAAAACUUGCGUGUAAAUUAUAACCAUUGCUUCUGUAUAGCAUUCUGAUUGGAGAGUCAGGUAUAGAUGCACAGAGAGCAGUUAGAAGGUUAUUAUAGUAGUCUAGAAGUGACUGUGGACUUGUAGGGAAAUGGCAAAUAUUUAGAAAACAAAUUCAAUAACACUCAGCAAUCAGUUGGACUUGGGGUAUGAGGAAGGGAGAAAUGUCUGGUCUGAUUCCAUCACAAGGCCUUGUAUAUGCUGUUCCCUUUGCCUAAAAAUUCCCUUAGCUCCUCUUUUAACCUGGCGAAAUGUUGCUCCUUCAUCAGGUCUCAGCUUGAGCAUCUCUUCUCCAGGGAAAUUGAUCCUCUUGCCUUUCCCCUGUUUAAUUUCCCUUCCCAUCACUUAUCACAGUUUAUAACGUUAUAUUCACUCACUUAUAAAGUACUUUCUUAAAUAUUUUAGCUCCUCUACAAGGAUGUAUAAUCCUUGAAGCAGGAGCUGUUCCCACCCAAGAAAAUGAAAAUCUCAGUCAUUAAGUACACAAACACGGGUCCAGAUUGCUUGGUUUCAAAUCUUGGUUCUGCUACUGGCCAGCUGUGUGAUCCAAGAAAAGCUACUCGACUUCUCUGUGUCUUCAUCUGCUCAUCUGUCAAAUGGAUAUAUGAGUAGUCCUACUUCAUGGAGUUGUUGCGAGGAAUCCAUUAGGUAAUGUAUCCAAAGCCUUUAGAAGGAUGUCAUGUUUAUAGUAAGCACUAGCACAGUGAUAGCUGCUUUAAUUGUUCUCUUCUUCUUUGUCCCUAGUACCUCUCCUAGUGCCUGCAGCCACGCAAUACAUAUUUGAAAAGUAAGUGGAAAUCUGUCAAGUGUAAGUUACUGUGUGGAUAUUGGUGUGAUGCACAGAGAAGAGGAAGCACUGGAAGAUGAUCAUGGAAGGGAGAGAAGGCAAGCUUGCAAAAUCAGCAUUGGCUAUUUAAAUAAUAUCUGCCUAUGAUGCUGUCAAGGAAAAAUGUUGUGGAGCCGUUGGAAAUGUGACAUUGAAGCUCAAAACAGAGGCCUGAGGGGAUUGAUUAAUUUCCCAGAGCCGCCAUAAUAAGGUACCACAAACUAGGUGGUUUAAAACAAUAAACAUUUAUUGUAUCACAGUUCUGGUGGCCAGAAGUCUGAAAUCAGGUAUUGGCAGGAUUUUGCCCCCUGAAGGGCCCUAGGGAAGGAUUCUUUCUUGCCAUUCCAGCUUCUGGUGGUCCCAAGUGAUCAUUGGCUUGCAGUAGCAUCACCCCAGUGUCUGCCCCUGUCUUCACAUGGCCUUCACUCUAUCUGAGUCCAAAUCUCCCUUUUCCUACGAGGAUAGCAGUCAUGUUGCAUAAAGGGUCCAACUACUCCAGUGUGACUUCAUCUUAACUACUUACAUCUGCCACAGUCCUACUUUCAAGAAAGUUCACAUUCUGAGGUAUUAAGGCAAUCAGUGUUUCAGUGUAUCUUUUGAGAGGACAUAAUUUCACCCACAACAGAAGUGAUAUACAUUUGGGGGUUACUGGCAUUUGAAUGCUAUUUUGAGCCAAGGCUAUAGAGAAGAGCAGCCUUGUAGCUAAGAGCUCAGGUCCUAUCAAUCCAUACAGACCUGGGAUUGACACUCAGUUCCAUUACUGACUGGCUCAGAUCUUGGUAAAGUUGCCUAACAUUUCGAAGACUUAGUUUCUUAGCCUGUUAAAAAAGGGAUAAUAAAACCUCCAGGUUUCUUGUAAAUAUGAACUGAGGAAAUGAUUGUAAAGUGGUGAGCAUAGCACAUCUUAUAGGGUGAGUCUUCAGUAAAUGGUGUCUGUUAGUUAAGAUUUUGUAUGGAAAGAAUCUAACCUGAGAAAGAAGGAAGAGUGAGGAAUAAAUUUUUAACCAAGAGGAAACACCCCAUUUUAGUUAGAAAUGACCCAAGAGAGCAACCAGAAUAAUGAAAAUACUAUAAAUUAUUUUCUGGUGUUUUGGAUUUAUAUAUAGUUCAAGAAUUUAGCCCUGUGCCUGACCUAAGACAGAUAAUCAAUAUGCAGUUGGAUGGCUAGACUGAAUGAACAUCAGGGACAUAUUUAGCCACCA
rnacentral:lncRNA from 1 species